GGGCUCUGCACAGCACACAACCCCACCGGCCUGGUGCCUAGCAAGGUCGCCUGCUGGCUGUUCCUGCACUUGCUCUACGUCAUUGAUACCACAUGCGUCUUGGAGACAGGACUUGAAAUAUUUACUUGGUCCCUACAAAAAGUGUCUCCCAUAGAGUAGGUGCUCAGGAAAUGCCAGCUGAUGCAUAGAUGCAUCUUGUGUAAAUCAGGAAAGAAAUCACGUGGUUCUGCGCCUGCAGGUGUCUGAUCAACCUGGGCCUCCCGUGGCCCCGGGGCAGGCGCACCUGCACAGCAAGGGGGCUGUAAAGAGGCCUAAAACUCUUCUGAGUUGAUGUCACAGAGCUAUGACCUGCAUGUUGUCCUAAGUGGGAGGGGUGAGGAGCGCUGCAGGAAGGCUCCUCCUUGGCAAGGACAUGGAUGGUUUCUCCAGAGUUCACCUGACUCCCCCGCCUCCAGCUUCAAGCAUCCAGGCGUCCCCCUCGUGGAACUGCCCGAUGCUCUGUUUGGGGAGCCUGCUAUAGUCGAAUUCCAGGAUGUGCCAGACAUCCACGGAGACACUGGUGAUCUCAAACUGCCUCCUGUCGUGCCCUUCCACCAGGCCAUAGCCACGGCCGACGUUCACCCCGUCCAGGAUGGUGCCCGCUGUCGUCUGGGGCAUGGACACCAUCCGCGUCACAUCGUACGGCUUGACGUCAGCCCUGGGGUCUUCCUACAGGGGAACAUGAAGGUUGCCUGUUUCCACAGCCAUUCCUUGUCACACUCAACGCUGCUUCAACUGUUCAUGGGACAGCAUAAAAAUACAGCUUCCACACUCUGUCCCAGGAUGCUUAACUGCAGUGAGGGAAAGGCUGCAGUUCCAGGAAGACUCUGGGAGGUCUGAACACCCAUCGCCACAAGAGCACAUGGACGCCCGAGAAAAGGUGCAAACCUGACUCUUCACCUCCCGGAGUCAGGUUAGAACUGGAGGCCAGUCUGCUGUUCUACUCGUGAGUCCAGGGAAGGCUUCCUAGCUUUAAGGCUGUGUGUGUUUAUUUUAAUUAAAAAAGUAUUUUAGUGGACACAUUUUUGUGCGUACAAUUUGAUGUGCUGUUACAGGCAUCUGUUUUAUGGGGAGGGGGUGAGGGAAGGAGGCAGCAGAGGGAGGACUGGGAGAUGCUGGCCAACAGCACAAAGUGACAAUCAGCGAGGAACGAGUUGCUUUUCUACGGCACGACAGGCCACUGUCCCCAACACUAUUGCAUAUUUCAGAACAGCUAGAAGAGAGGAUCUGAAUGUUCUCACCACAAAGAAUUGAUAAAUCUGAGGUGACGGUCAUGCGAACUACCUGAUUUGAUCAUUUUAC
rnacentral:lncRNA from 1 species